UACGAAGGGGGCUAGCGUUGCUCGGAUUGACUGGGCGUAAAGGGCGCGUAGGCGGAUAGUACAGUCAGGCGUGAAAUUCCUGGGCUCAACCUGGGGGCUGCGUUUGAUACGUAUUGUCUGGAGUUCGGAAGAGGGUCGUGGAAUUCCCAGUGUAGAGGUGAAAUUCGUAGAUAUUGGGAAGAACACCGGUGGCGAAGGCGGCGACCUGGUCCGACACUGACGCUGAGGCGCGAAAGCGUGGGGAGCAAACAGG
rnacentral:rRNA from 1 species